rnacentral:rRNA from 1 species
UACGUAGGGUGCAAGCGUUAAUCGGAAUUACUGGGCGUAAAGCGAGCGCAGGCGGUUAUUUAAGUCAGGUGUGAAAGCCCCGAGCUCAACUUGGAACGUGCAUUUGAAACUGGAUAACUAGAGUGUGUCAGAGGGGGGUAGAAUUCCACGUGUAGCAGUGAAAUGCGUAGAGAUGUGGAGGAAUACCGAUGGCGAAGGCAGCCCCCUGGGAUAACACUGACGCUCAUGCUCGAAAGCGUGGGUAGCAAACAGG